CUUUAACCCCUUAAGGUCCAAACUUCUGGAAUAAAAGGGAAUCAUGACAUGUCACACAUGUCAUGUGUCCUUAAGGGGUUAAUGACAACUCUUUGUACUGUUUUUAAGCCAAGAACAAGCAUUUUCAUCUAGACCGAUUUCCUUGAGUUUGAACACUAAUCUAUUGUGUGGAACUGUAUCAAAUUCCUUGGUGAAAUCCAAAUAGAUCACAUCCACUGCAACACCCUGAUCUAUACUUCUACUUACUUCUUUGUAGAACGCAAUCAAGUUAGUUUUACAUGACCUGUGCUUUAUAAAACCGUGCUGAUUUUUUUUCUGAUAACCAUGUUCUUCUCAAGGAAUUCUUGAAUAUUAUCCCUUAAUAACCUUUCAAAUAUUUUCCCAGCCACAGAAGUCAAGCUCACAGGUCUAUAAUUUCCAGGCAAGGAUUUUGAACCCUUUUUGAAUAUAAGAACCACAUCUGACUUCCUCCAAUUCUCCGG